GCAUGCAAGUCGCGCGAGAACCGCAAGGGGGACAGCGGCGAAAGGGACAGUAAUGUGUAGAUCAUCUGCCCUCAGGUCCGGGAUAGCUGCGGGAAACUGCAGGUAAUACCGGAUAACAUCUCCGGAUCAAAGGUGUGAUUCCGCCUGAGGAUGAGUCUACAUCCUAUUAGCUAGUUGGUAGGGUAACGGCCUACCAAGGCUGUGAUGGGUAGCGGGUGUGAGAGCACGACCCGCGUCAUUGAGACUGAGACACUGCCCAGACACCUACGGGUGGCUGCAGUCGAGAAUCUUCGGCAAUGGGCGCAAGCCUGACCGAGCGACGCCGCGUGUGGGAUGAAGGCCUUCGGGUUGUAAACCACUGUCAGAGGGGAUGAAAUGCGGGCGGGUACUCCCAUCCGUUUGACAUAGCCUCAGAGGAAGGACGGGCUAAGUUCGUGCCAGCAGCCGCGGUAAGACGAACCGUCCGAACGUUAUUCGGAAUCACUGGGCUUAAAGGGUGCGUAGGCGGCGCGGAAAGUUGGGUGUGAAAUCCCUCGGCUCAACCGAGGAACUGCGCCCAAAACUACCGUGCUUGAGGGAGAUAGAGGUGAGCGGAACUUAGGGUGGAGCGGUGAAAUGCGUUGAUAUCCUAAGGAACACCGGCGGCGAAAGCGGCUCACUGGAUCUCUUCUGACGCUGAGGCACGAAAGCUAGGGUAGCGAACGGGAU
rnacentral:rRNA from 1 species